CUCGCAAGAGCAAAGCAGGGGACCUUCGGGCCUUGCGCUACCGGAUAUGCCCAGGUUGGGAUUAGCUAGUUGGUGAGGUAAGGGCUCACCAAGGCGACGAUCCCUAGCUGGUCUGAGAGGAUGAUCAGGCCACACUGGAACUGAGACACGGUCCAGACUCCUACGGGAGGCAGCAGUGGGGAAUAUUGCACAAUGGGCGCAAGCCUGAUGCAGCCAUGCCGCGUGUAUGAAGAAGGCCUCGG
rnacentral:rRNA from 1 species